UAGGAUUGGUACAUUUCAACACAUGUAAGACUUCUGAGUUUAAUUUACACGUAUUUUUUCCAAAAACGUUUCCCUUCUUUAACAAUCCAGAAGUUAAAAAAAUCUUAUUCCAAAUUAUAAGAACAAACAGUAUUUGCAGUGGAAAUUUCUAUUAAUCAAAACAACUGUGCAUUCAGGAGACUGAAAGAAAUUAUCCUCCUUACCCUUAAACAUGAUUAACUUUUGCUGUCACAACUGACUAUGCUUUACCUGGGAUUAUUUGCUGCUGUUCUUUACUAAAAUAACUUUCUGUUCCAUCGAGACUAUUGCUAGUCAUACACACAAUAUUCAGUAUCAUACUUCUUGGUAUGAAAACUAUGCCACUUUUAUCAACAUUAAAAACAUGGACAUGCAUAUUGACAUUUCUGUGCAGUUUUAUGGAGUCACCUGUCAAAUAAGGCCUCUACAUACAAUAUCACAUACUAGUGAAUUACUGGAAAAUUAGUAUAAUGGAUUCGCAAUAAUCCUGACACCUGGAUGGCAUGACUCAUUUUAACAGGAAAAUCCAGCUUUUAGUGCUGGUUAACAUUGUAUUGAUUCACUAGCCAAACGUACAAUAUUCAACUGGCCGAGGUGUAUUCCUGAAAGUCUGUUGCAAAUUAAGCGUAUUACCAAGGUCAUUUAAAGCUGGAACUUAAACAGCCUCUUAAGCCAAGCAAUGGGGAAAGAAGUGAACUCUAAACUAAAUUCAGCUGGUCCAUUCAUACUCGCACAGAAGAGUAGCCACAGAACUUUAAGGAAUAAAAUGUAUACUUCCUGUUCUCGGAUUCCGUCUCAAGGACAAAAGAUAACAUACUAUUUUGGAAGUCAAAGGCCUUGAAGGUGGAGGGGAAUCUGGGGGCAGGAGAGGGCGAAAGCAGCGUAUUGUCUCAUCCCAUUACCUCAGCGUUAUGUGUACGUAAUAUAUCUAUAAUAGAAACGUUUACUAAUAGCAGGAAAAAUAAACAACAAAAAAGACUUCCCACUCCAGACUUCACUGAAAGGAGAAAGCUGACAGCCCCUCCUCACAGAGACGGCCUAUUUGAUGACAGGCACUUUGGCAAUGUAAAAGGAGGUUACCUUUCCAUCACGUUAACACUUCCCCUCCCAGUUCUCAUGUGUAAUUUGUCUCAAGUCUUCGAGAAACUUGAAUCAAAUUAAAUGCAUUAAUACAUCUCUAAGAGCAGGUUAACUACGGCUGUGAGCAGAGCUCGACCUAGAACGAGAUUUUCUUUUAGAAGAAGAGGGAGAUGGGGAAGAAGCUGGCAAGCUGGAGCGGUGACUCUUCUGGGAGUAGCUCUUUUUAGGUGUACGGCUGCGAGAACGAGACCGGGAGCGGGAGCGGGAUCGAGAGCGAGACCUGGACCUGGACCUGGAUCUGGACCUUGAUCUGGACCUGGACCUGGACCGGCUGUAUGACCUCGAAGAUCCUGUAGACUUGGACUUGCUGCGAGACCUUGAGUAACUCCUUGAUCGAGAUCUGCUUCUAUGCCUCCUGUGAUCCUCAAUCAGUUUAAUUCUGCGUCCAUUCAGCUCAGUGCCAUCCAAUUUUUCCAGUGCACUCUUCAUAUCACUGUAAGAUGCAAAUUCCACAACCCCUUCAUUCCUGUUGUUUCUGUGUGCAUCCACAUAGGUGACCUCCCCUGCUUUUCUCAUGACAUCUUUCAAGUCCUGCCAGCUGAUACGGGACGAAAGGUUUUCAACUAUGAUCCUGUGCUCAGUACGAACAGGGGGUCCAUACCGGCUAGAUCCACUCUGCGAGUAAUAACUGAACCGCUGUGCGAAUCUGCCCCUUCCUCUUCUGGCUCGAGCAUGCUCAAUUGUGACCCUUUCAUCACACAACUCUUUUCCAUUCAGUUCAUAAAUUGCAUCAUCAGCAUCCCUGUGGUCUUCAAAUUCCACAAAUCCAAAUCCAUUCUUUAGAUGGAUUUCUCGUAUGCGUCCAUAUCCUUUGAAGAACUUCUCCACAUCCCGCUCCCGAGCACGUGAGCUUAAGUGUCCAACGAAGACACGGCAGCCACUCAUCUUAAGUGUGAUGCGUCGCCGGGCGCUGAGUCCUGCGGGCCGUGAGGAGAGAGAGCGCUCUUCCCGGCCGCGGCGGCAAUGGCUGCCUUGUUCCUACGAGAGACCAGCAACGCCGCGCGCCCCCAACGGAUGCUGCGCAACCGCCGACGUCCGACUCCAAGUCCCAGCGUGCCGCGCGGCGGGCCCGGGCCGCGCCCCGGCCUCCUGCUCUGCCGCGCUGCGUGCCGGGGCUGCGGGCUGCCGCCCCGGAUGGCGGCCGUGCUGCUGCGCCCGCGCCAGGGGGCGCCCCGCGCGGGGAGAAAGGCGGCUGCGGGGCCGCGGCCUCUCCCGCCGUGUCGAGGGCUGGCCCGAUUGUGGCGUUCCGGCGGCGCGGUUCGUGACAGGUCACGGUGCGAGGAGCGAGGUGAGCGCUGCUGUCUCCUUCAGUGCAGCGCAGCGUGUUAAAUUCUCGCCGUCCGGACGCCGCACGGGGUGUCCGUCCGCCCCUUUGAUUGCAUUAGGCCUGGACUGCAGCUUCGGAGCCUGCUGGAGAUGUCCGGGGAGGAGGGCCGGCAGCCCGUGCCAGUGUUUGGCUGCCCUUACAGCAAUAAACCCGGUGUUGUUGCGUGCCUAACGCUGCCCAGGGUGCUGCUGGCCUUUGCUGCAAGGUGAUAGAUGAGAGCACCUUGGUAAGAAAAAGCUGUGAUCUAACAGCUCAACAAAGCUGUCUGUGGUUAAAAGAGGAGGUGGUCGUAGCCGGGGAAAUGUGUCUUACAACUCGGAACACAGCAUUCAGUUGUAAGGCUGUUCUAAUUCGUUUCUUAACGUUCUCCAGGACACCCAAAAUGGCACAGCUGUGUGCCUCUUUCUGUGCAGAUACUCUGUGCAGAUAGCAGAGCUGGAAUACUGCAGGAGUACCACCAGUCUCAGCGUGUCUACAUGCUUGAAUUGCUGUGUAAGGAGUUCAGAAGCAGAAAAAAAAAGCUCCUUAGGUGGCAGUCUUGGAAUGGUAUGAGAGUAAUAAGGAUUGGAGUUACUGGCAAUAAUGGAGAGAAAUCGUGCUGGAAGCCCAAUUAAAGAGUUUUGAUUUAAUCCUGCAAAUCAGCUCUGCACUCUGGAUCAUGCCAGGGGGGGAAGAAUGCGGCGGUGUGUGUGAACAGAGCUCUGAGUGCACAGCCAGGCUGCAGUCCUGCUUUCCCUUUCUUGGUUGUGGGCACCGCACGGCAGCAAAAAGGUGUGAUGUACAGCAUUUGAAGAACCUGUAGCGUUGGCCCUAGCGAGCGGGUAGUGUUUCUGGAUGUUAUCAUGUGCAAAAUCAACUCUCACGGCAGAGCUGCAUGUUAGUUCCCUAGUUAUUUUGAGAAGCCCAUAGGAAAGCCCACUGGGAACUAUUAGCAUCCUGACUGCACGCCUACAAAUGCAAACACUCAGCUGGAUUCGGCAUGCUUAAAAAACGUAAGCUGCUCAUUACGAGGGUACAUGCAUUGCUUUCUUUUUUCCUUGAAGGAGACAUUUUAUUUUCUCUGUGGCAGAAAGCAGAACGGUGUGGUUUGGUGCCACCGAUGAAAGACUACUCAACUAAGUCCUAUUCAACUAAGAAGUAGUAGGAGAGGAAUUCUUUACAGUGAUGGUGGCAGUGUUGAGUGUGCCUAAUAAUAAAGAAGGCAUAAAAUGCGUUCUUAACCCUGCAGUUUAAAAGUUGUUCCUGGUUUUAGGCAAACCUGUACAACCAAAGCCACAGGGUCCAUGCAGAAAGCAGCAACAGCGAUUAGGGAACUGGGGGGAAUGGUCUGGGAAAAGGCGUGGGAUCCUUGGGGGAUGCCUGUGGCACUUGGACUGGAAUGUGAUGGAGCUGGGUUCAGUUCACCACAGACAUCCCCGAGGACUACAGUCAAAUGGUUUCUGGCUGGAGACACUAACAACUGAGCUGUGCUCACCACAGCAGCCACCUCAGAGGUGCAGCAGCCCAGAGUCCAAGAUGGAGCCCAAGACUUGGAGUCAGGUCCCUGCACAGGACACAGGGGCAGGUGUGGGGCACCUAGUGACCAAAAAUACCAACAUGCUGAGCUGCCAGCGAGCAGCAGUGAGAGAUGCAGGACUCUGUGUUAUAGCACGGAGACACCCACCUGCAGCUGUGAAACCAGAGCCUUGUUUCAUUGGGAUCCACAGCUUGGGGCUGUCUGAGAGAAACGUGCUGAUAACUGUUUCUGUCAAGAGGUACUGCUAUGGCUAGUGAACAUUCUGUCUGUUUUGCUCAAGUGACACCUUGCAUGAUGGUCGCUAGGCUGUGAGCUAUUGACGAGUGGCAAGGUGUGAAUGAACUUGCUAAGAAGAGAUAAGACAGUAUUGCGUUUUCUACCAACGUAUUUUCAUGCAUGUAUAUCCCAAAGCAUAAGUCGGAGCACAAAACCAGGGAACUACUUCCUGACCGUUGUGUGGUGUCCGGAUAAAAGAGGAAUCAAAUAUUUUGUUGGUGAAGUGUGCAGUCUAUAGUGUCUCUAAGUCCACAGAAUGUAGAAAAGAUUAAUUUUAUUCCUGCCCUUUCAGUAGAGUUAAGCUGGUAGAUUUGUCCACCUAAAAUAGCCUCACAGACGUCCUUCCCGGAACAGAGCCAGCCGGCCAGCUCUGCCCCUUGCAGUGUCUGCCUUCCCUACUGACUGCGCAUCAAACACAUCUCCUCAGUGCAUGCUGGGGAAUGCUCUGGUUACCCGUUUGUCUUAGGGUAUGCCCUAUCCUUUGCUAAUCUUAUGCUAAGACUUUCCCAGCAGCUUAUGGCUAAUGCAGUGGAUGGUAAGGUCUUAUGUAGUAGUGACUCUUUUGGUAGUCAGAGUUAACUAGGAAAUUUGAUUAAUUCAUUGGGAUUAAGCUCUCUUAGUAUCUGUUCUACCCAGCAUCUGUUAUGCAAGUAAUUUAGUACAAAUAAUGUUCUCAUUAUGGUCUGAAAAUCAUACCUGCAUUCUGAUUUCUGAAGAAAGUCAUUUUAAUGCAUACCCUUCCUUUUCUCAGCCAUUACCAGCCUUCUUCUUCUUACUCCUUGCUCUCCCUGUUAGUUCACUGAUGAAACCAGCCAAUCUGAUUCAGCUGGACCAAUCCUCUGUGGGUGUAUGAAUGCUUCUUUGAAACUAAGUUCAUUCAAGGUUGCAGACCAGUUUCCUUUCAUUGUCUUCUGAGCCUCUUGGCUCUGCUCCUCUGUUCCAAAACCAGAUGCUGGCAGCACCGAAGACAUGCAGCAGUCACAAUACACAUUUGAGAGGCUUUUAGAAAUGUGGCUGACAUUCUGGCAGGCAGGACAGCUCCUUGUUUUCCGAGCACUGAUGUGUUUUUGUCCCUGGGCCAUCACGCCAUCACAUUCAGGGGCAGGUACCGAGAUCUCCAGAGCUGAAGAUGUCAACAGCCAUGAAAUGACAAUGGUUAAUUUCUGGGAAAAAACAUUAUUCCAAGGCCGUGCCUGAACAUGGGGAGUCCGACAGACUGACAAAAACAAUCAGUUCAUCUCUGAAUGGGAGAUGUGAGCUUGAGACACGCUGUGUGCUGCUUCUGCUCUUGGCAGGGGUGGGUGCAGUCACUGAGCUGCCGACAGCUGCUUCCAGAGAGGAAUUGAAUGGAGGCUGAUGUCAGGAUUUGGCUGAAGGGCGGCACAUCAGCUUCAAAACCACGAUCCUAACACAAAAAGCUGUUUUCAAAUUUCAGCGUAGUAACUGCCAGAGUCUGUUAGGCCACAUGAGUGCAAGAUGCAUUUUGUGCCGUAUGUGAAGAAGGCCAAUGUGCUGCAGCAUCACAGAGCUUCUCUGUGGGUGUCAUGGGGAUAGGGGGGCUUUAUAUGCCACCUGGGCAUCAAAGACUGGGUGACAUCAGCUCUAGCCAGUUUGUCAGAGGCUAUGCAGAAAGAAUACCAGUCCACGUGGCUAGACUUAUCAGUACACCUCUUGCCAAUAUUUUGAGCUGUAUUCAGAUCCUCAGAAGCACAGGUGAGGCCUUGCUGUUGCUGUUAACACCACAGCUUCAGCCAAGGAUGCAGUUCUGCGGUACCGGCACAGCAAAGCCAGCAUUGCCAUAGGCCACACACUGCCACAAUUUGUGCCGUGAGCAGGAAGAGCCACCUGUUUGCUUUCCGUCUCAAAAAACCAGAAAUGCUUACUCCCAGUUGGGGUUUUGUGUGAAUCCUGUUGAAGAGUAAAAACACUAGCACAGCUCAUUGCGCUUUUUGCCAAGACUUUUGAGAUCUCUAAGCACAGACUGGCAGAGCGCUGUCACUGGGAUUGCUCAGGACACAGCUGGCUCCACUCACAUUGCUAGCACACCAGGGGAGCUGGACAGCCCACGGCACACUCUAUUUUAAAGUAACACGGGUCUUCUCUCUAUAUAGUGGUCACUCAAUACACCAGUAGUUAUUUGCCUCACUUCUUGGUAUUACUGUUCAUUGUUUUUUUUAAGUACGCUAGGUUAUAUAUAUUUAGGUUACACCUAAAAAGCUUACUUGAAACACAUCAUGAAGUGCUAAUGCAGAUUUUUAUCCUUAAAAUCCAUGACUCCUAAAAAAAGUUGUGGGAGGGCAAGAAACGUAUUUGUAAUCUGAGAUGACAGGAUUAGCUCCUUCCCUUUGCUAAUUUCCAGGCACGUGUGUUCACGUAUACUUUGAUUCAUGAAAGGUCCUGAAAGAGCUGUUCUGAAGGCUGGCUUCUUUUCAAUGUCUACUACAAAGGUGUUCCUGAGUGCCGGAGGAAUUUAUGAUAUCAGAAGAUAUAGUAUCAAAAGCAGUGAGCAAUGCUGAGCAUGGGAUAGUGGAGGAAUCCUUCAUUAGAUGGUUCCAAAUGUGGUGAUUGGUUGCAUAGCUCUGUAAUUAAUUCUGUGCUGUUUUUAAAGGAAUAAUGAGGAUAUUGCCCUGGAGAUGUGUGAGCGUCAGGGCCAGAAAGCUGUGUAAUGUCCAAUUUAAUUCAAUAAAAAUGAACAGGUUAAGGAGGUGAGAAGCUGACAUCUAAAGGACUGUAAUUUCAACUAAAAAGCAUCUCAAAUUCUCUUCGUGUAUGUGGUUUCAACUAAAGAGGACUAAACAUUCACCAUACAAAUGAAUAAAGUCUAGAUUUGUUAUCACAAGAAAUUUUUAAUAUGGUCUGUGACAAGCAAUAUCAAAGUUAUCAACUCUCAAGCUUCAUCUGAAACCAGACAACUCUCAGCAACAAAAAAUGUUGUGCACUGAUAAACAUAGGAGGCAUAUUGUAUUUUUUAAUUAAAUAUGAAAACAUGAGCUGUGUACAUUAUUUUUUCCCUAGAAAACACAGCGAUUUCAAAAGUUUAUCAUAAAAUAUUUUCAUGAAAUGAGUGAACCAGCAAACACAUGCACUUGUGUGCCUUCCCCCCCUCCAAAGAUAAACGUGAUAAAGAGACAUACGCAAAUGUAGAAGGUAACAGAACAAGUGGCGUUUUGUUGGUGGUUGGUUCUUUUUGGAAAGGAUGGAAUGUAACAUUGUGCUCGACUUUCUAUGUCACAACAAAAAAUAUUUGGUGCAAUAUUGGAACAUUUUCUUUUUAAGUUUCAAUCUGGUGGAGAAAAAUACCCUUUUCUAUAAUAAAAUAUGUCUGUUCUUUUUAAAACGUAACUUUUUUUGCACAAAAUAAUUUUGUAAACUGUCAUUUCAAGGGCAAGGUAGGCGGUGUCAUGUCAAUGUCCUCCCCCCAUUUAAAAACGUGAUCUGUUAUCUGAAGCAAAACAGGGAAACACAAAAAAGAGCGGAGCAGAGGCUGCUUUGCAAAGAGAAAGAAGGGUGUGUUGGACGGGGAGAGGGGAGGGUUGCGUGGUGGGACAGAAAAAAGUUAAAGGUCACUUUCGCCAUAGAGCGCCGUGGAGAACGACAUGUAGUCCAGGGCACCGGGUACAGCAUCACGGCCAUUGUAGGGUGCCAUUCUAGCAAUGCAGUACUCAGCCUGAUCAGGAGGCAGCUCCCGCCGUAACUCAUCCACAGUGAUGUAGUUCUGCAAUGAAGACACAGG
rnacentral:lncRNA from 1 species